AGUGAACGCUGGCGGUAGGCCUAACACAUGCAAGUCGAACGGCAGCACAGUAAGAGCUUGCUCUUACGGGUGGCGAGUGGCGGACGGGUGAGGAAUACAUCGGAAUCUACUUUUUCGUGGGGGAUAACGUAGGGAAACUUACGCUAAUACCGCAUACGACCUACGGGUGAAAGCAGGGGAUCUUCGGACCUUGCGCGAUUGAAUGAGCCGAUGUCGGAUUAGCUAGUUGGCGGGGUAAAGGCCCACCAAGGCGACGAUCCGUAGCUGGUCUGAGAGGAUGAGCAGCCAAACUGGAACUGAGACACGGUCCAGACUCCUACGGGAGGCAGCAGUGGGGAAUAUUGGACAAUGGGCGCAAGCAUGAUCCAGCCAUACCGCGUGGGUGAAGAAGGCCUUCGGGUUGUAAAGCCCUUUUGUUGGGAAAGAAAAGCAGCAGGUUAAUACCCCGCUGUUCUGACGGUACCCAAAGAAUAAGCACCGGCUAACUUC
rnacentral:rRNA from 1 species